UCUAUCGUACUUCUAGAGAUCAGUCCUAUAGUACGUAUCACCAGGACGUCAAACAAACUUGACCCUGGCCAACCAACCGCGAUGACGAUCAGUGCGGCCUAUUCCUGAGCGUGAAGCGGGUGUGUGGCUGUCCGUCUGGCUGGCUUCUCACGAAGUCUGUUCGUGCGGACUCGGCCGCCUCCUUGU
rnacentral:snoRNA from 1 species